AAAGCCAGCUGGGCUCCUGAGUCCGGUGGGUACUUGGAGAACUUACUACGUCUAGCUGGAGGAUUGUAAAUGCACCAAUCAGCAUGCUGUGUCUAGCUCAAGAACUCAAGCUCCAUGAGGAGAUGUUUCAUUGUCGAGAGCAGUCAUGAUGCCCUGCACUCCACACAAUGCAACAGAGUGAAAGAGCAGGUUCUGCUUCUUUGGUGUAGUCCUGAAGCUUCCUAAGAAACUUCACAUCAGGUGAUGGAUAGGAGCAACCCUGUAAAACCAGCCUUAGACUAUUUUUCAAACAGGCUGGUGAAUUACCAGAUCUCCGUCAAGUGCAGUAACCAGUUCAAGUUGGAAGUGUGUCUUUUGAAUGCAGAAAACAAAGUCGUGGACAACCAGGCUGGGACCCAGGGCCAGCUGAAGGUGCUGGGUGCCAACCUCUGGUGGCCGUACCUGAUGCACGAACACCCCGCCUACCUGUACUCGUGGGAGGAUGGUGAUUGCUCACACCAAAGCCUUGGACCCCUCCCAGCCUGUGACCUUUGGGACCAACUCCACCUACGCAGCAGACAAGGGGGCUCUGUAUGUGGAUGUGAUCCGUGUGAACAGCUACUACUCUUGGUAUCGCAACUACGGGCACCUGGAGUUGAUUCGGCUGCAGCUGGCCGCCCAGUUUGAGAAUUGGUGUAAGACAUCACAAUCCCAUUAUUCAGAGCGCGUAUGGAGUGGAAACGCUUGUAGGGCUUCACCAGGAUCCACCUCUGAUGUUCAGUGAAGAGGACCAGAAAAGUCUGCUAGAGCAGUACCAUCUGGGUCUGGAUCAAAAACGCAGAAAAUACGUGGUUGGAGAGCUCAUCUGGAAUUUUGCCGAUUUCAUGACUAACCAGUGUGUCAGUUUCUUGGUCGGGAAUGAAAAUAGUGCCAACCUGUGAUACCUUCACUCUAAUUUUACUUUCUGAGGAAGUUUUCUGUAAUAGUUAUUUGGUGAUAAUUAUUAAUACUGAUGUGAAUUUCUUCGGAGUAAGAAAUCCUCAGAGGAAAUUACCCAGUAUAUUCAAAGCUACAAGGGAUUUGUUGACAUAACGGGAGAACAUUUUGUGAAUUCCUGGGUCCAGAGAGAAUUACCUAUGGCAUCAGCUUAUUGCAAUGACAGCAUCUUUGCUUACGAAGAACUACGGCUGGACUCUUUU
rnacentral:lncRNA from 1 species